GAUGAACGCUGGCGGCGUGCCUAAUACAUGCAAGUCGAGCGAACAGAUGAGGAGCUUGCUCCUCUGACGUUAGCGGCGGAAGGGUGAGUAACACGUGGAUAACCUACCUAUAAGACUGGGAUAACUUCGGGAAACCGGAGCUAAUACCGGAUAAUAUAUUGAACCGCAUGGUUCAAUAGUGAAAGACGGUUUUGCUGUCACUUAUAGAUGGAUCCGCGCCGCAUUAGCUAGUUGGUAAGGUAACGGCUUACCAAGGCAACGAUGCGUAGCCGACCUGAGAGGGUGAUCGGCCACGCUGGAACUGAGACACGGUCCAGACUCCUACGGGAGGCAGCAGUAGGGAAUCUUCCGCAAUGGGCGAAAGCCUGACGGAGCAACGCCGCGUGAGUGAUGAAGGUCUUCGGAUCGUAAAACUCUGUUAUUAGGGAAGAACAAAUGUGUAAGUAACUAUGCACGUCUUGACGGUACCUAAUCAGAAAGCCACGGCUAACUACGUG
rnacentral:rRNA from 1 species